UUAAGCGACUAAGCGUACACGGUGGAUGCCCUGGCAGUCAGAGGCGAUGAAGGACGUGCUAAUCUGCGAUAAGCGUCGGUAAGGUGAUAUGAACCGUUAUAACCGGCGAUUUCCGAAUGGGGAAACCCAGUGUGAUUCGUCACACUAUCAUUAACUGAAUCCAUAGGUUAAUGAGGCGAACCGGGGGAACUGAAACAUCUAAGUACCCCGAGGAAAAGAAAUCAACCGAGAUUCCCCCAGUAGCGGCGAGCGAACGGGGAGCAGCCCAGAGCCUGAAUCAGUGUGUGUGUUAGUGGAAGCGUCUGGAAAGGCGCGCGAUACAGGGUGACAGCCCCGUACACAAAAAUGCACAUGCUGUGAGCUCGAUGAGUAGGGCGGGACACGUGGUAUCCUGUCUGAAUAUGGGGGGACCAUCCUCCAAGGCUAAAUACUCCUGACUGACCGAUAGUGAACCAGUACCGUGAGGGAAAGGCGAAAAGAACCCCGGCGAGGGGAGUGAAAAAGAACCUGAAACCGUGUACGUACAAGCAGUGGGAGCACGCUUAGGCGUGUGACUGCGUACCUUUUGUAUAAUGGGUCAGCGACUUAUAUUCUGUAGCAAGGUUAACCGAAUAGGGGAGCCGAAGGGAAACCGAGUCUUAACUGGGCGUUAAGUUGCAGGGUAUAGACCCGAAACCCGGUGAUCUAGCCAUGGGCAGGUUGAAGGUUGGGUAACACUAACUGGAGGACCGAACCGACUAAUGUUGAAAAAUUAGCGGAUGACUUGUGGCUGGGGGUGAAAGGCCAAUCAAACCGGGAGAUAGCUGGUUCUCCCCGAAAGCUAUUUAGGUAGCGCCUCGUGAAUUCAUCUCCGGGGGUAGAGCACUGUUUCGGCAAGGGGGUCAUCCCGACUUACCAACCCGAUGCAAACUGCGAAUACCGGAGAAUGUUAUCACGGGAGACACACGGCGGGUGCUAACGUCCGUCGUGAAGAGGGAAACAACCCAGACCGCCAGCUAAGGUCCCAAAGUCAUGGUUAAGUGGGAAACGAUGUGGGAAGGCCCAGACAGCCAGGAUGUUGGCUUAGAAGCAGCCAUCAUUUAAAGAAAGCGUAAUAGCUCACUGGUCGAGUCGGCCUGCGCGGAAGAUGUAACGGGGCUAAACCAUGCACCGAAGCUGCGGCAGCGACGCUUAUGCGUUGUUGGGUAGGGGAGCGUUCUGUAAGCCUGCGAAGGUGUGCUGUGAGGCAUGCUGGAGGUAUCAGAAGUGCGAAUGCUGACAUAAGUAACGAUAAAGCGGGUGAAAAGCCCGCUCGCCGGAAGACCAAGGGUUCCUGUCCAACGUUAAUCGGGGCAGGGUGAGUCGACCCCUAAGGCGAGGCCGAAAGGCGUAGUCGAUGGGAAACAGGUUAAUAUUCCUGUACUUGGUGUUACUGCGAAGGGGGGACGGAGAAGGCUAUGUUGGCCGGGCGACGGUUGUCCCGGUUUAAGCGUGUAGGCUGGUUUUCCAGGCAAAUCCGGAAAAUCAAGGCUGAGGCGUGAUGACGAGGCACUACGGUGCUGAAGCAACAAAUGCCCUGCUUCCAGGAAAAGCCUCUAAGCAUCAGGUAACAUCAAAUCGUACCCCAAACCGACACAGGUGGUCAGGUAGAGAAUACCAAGGCGCUUGAGAGAACUCGGGUGAAGGAACUAGGCAAAAUGGUGCCGUAACUUCGGGAGAAGGCACGCUGAUAUGUAGGUGAAGUCCCUCGCGGAUGGAGCUGAAAUCAGUCGAAGAUACCAGCUGGCUGCAACUGUUUAUUAAAAACACAGCACUGUGCAAACACGAAAGUGGACGUAUACGGUGUGACGCCUGCCCGGUGCCGGAAGGUUAAUUGAUGGGGUUAGCGCAAGCGAAGCUCUUGAUCGAAGCCCCGGUAAACGGCGGCCGUAACUAUAACGGUCCUAAGGUAGCGAAAUUCCUUGUCGGGUAAGUUCCGACCUGCACGAAUGGCGUAAUGAUGGCCAGGCUGUCUCCACCCGAGACUCAGUGAAAUUGAACUCGCUGUGAAGAUGCAGUGUACCCGCGGCAAGACGGAAAGACCCCGUGAACCUUUACUAUAGCUUGACACUGAACAUUGAGCCUUGAUGUGUAGGAUAGGUGGGAGGCUUUGAAGUGUGGACGCCAGUCUGCAUGGAGCCGACCUUGAAAUACCACCCUUUAAUGUUUGAUGUUCUAACGUGGACCCGUAAUCCGGGUUGCGGACAGUGUCUGGUGGGUAGUUUGACUGGGGCGGUCUCCUCCUAAAGAGUAACGGAGGAGCACGAAGGUUGGCUAAUCCUGGUCGGACAUCAGGAGGUUAGUGCAAUGGCAUAAGCCAGCUUGACUGCGAGCGUGACGGCGCGAGCAGGUGCGAAAGCAGGUCAUAGUGAUCCGGUGGUUCUGAAUGGAAGGGCCAUCGCUCAACGGAUAAAAGGUACUCCGGGGAUAACAGGCUGAUACCGCCCAAGAGUUCAUAUCGACGGCGGUGUUUGGCACCUCGAUGUCGGCUCAUCACAUCCUGGGGCUGAAGUAGGUCCCAAGGGUAUGGCUGUUCGCCAUUUAAAGUGGUACGCGAGCUGGGUUUAGAACGUCGUGAGACAGUUCGGUCCCUAUCUGCCGUGGGCGCUGGAGAAUUGAGGGGGGCUGCUCCUAGUACGAGAGGACCGGAGUGGACGCAUCACUGGUGUUCGGGUUGUCAUGCCAAUGGCACUGCCCGGUAGCUAAAUGCGGAAGAGAUAAGUGCUGAAAGCAUCUAAGCACGAAACUUGCCCCGAGAUGAGUUCUCCCUGACUCCUUGAGAGUCCUGAAGGAACGUUGAAGACGACGACGUUGAUAGGCCGGGUGUGUAAGCGCAGCGAUGCGUUGAGCUAACCGGUACUAAUGAACCGUGAGGCUUAACCUU
rnacentral:rRNA from 1 species